rnacentral:misc_RNA from 1 species
GAUGAAGAACGUAGCGAAAUGCGAUAAGUAAUGUGAAUUGCAGAAUUCAGUGAAUCAUCGAAUCUUUGAACGCACAUUGCGCCCCCCAUUAUUCUGGCGGGCAUGCCUGUUCGAGCGUCAUUUCAACCAUCAAGCCCUGCUUGUGUUGGGGUCCUGCGGCUGCCCGCAGGCCCUGAAAACCAGUGGCGGGCUCGCUAGUCACACCGAGCGCAGUAGCACAUCUCGCUCAGGGCGUGCGGCGGGCUCCAGCCGUUAAAGCACCCACCUUUCGCAAGGUUGACCUCGGAUCAGGUAGGAAUACCCGCUGAACUUAAGCAUAUCAAUAAGCGGAGGA